ACUAGGGUUGGUCUCCAGCUGCCCCCCAGCCUUACCCUGGCCUCUGGGUUGAGGUUCUGUCUCCAAACAUCUCUAUUCAAGUGCAAUGCCUGCUUUUGACUUCCUGCCCUUGUCUUUGCCCUGCUCUGUCCUCGUGGGCUGCCUCAUGUUUUGGACUCUUGGCUGAACCAGCUGCUGUCCCUGGACCUUUCCUGCCCCGUGCUCAGGUACCUUGGAGCUGGGUCCCCUUCACAGAGGUUGUUCCAGAGUAAGGAAGGGCGCACUGGAGACUACUGAUAGCAGCUGGUGGAAAUAACUGGUGAGCCUGCUGGGGAUGAUGCUUUUUGCUGUGUAUGUAGAGCAAAUAAGCCUCAGUCUUUACCUUGGUUUGAAAUAGCAGCUUUCACCCCCAUUUUUGUGGUAGUGCUGCUGUGGCCAUGAUGAUUGCCUAGGGACGAAGACAGAUGUGCUGCUUCUUGUCAGACCAAGAAAAGCAGGUGUUAGCCUUCCUUCAGCCCUGGAGCAGCAGCAGGAGGUGGCUCCGUGCUGUCCUCCCCUGACUGCUUGUCGUGACACGCAGCACAGAAAUGCUCUGAUGAGGUGCACUCGCUGAGCAAACAGCUACAACAGGUUGCUCUCUUACUACUCCAGUUUAUUUUUCACUCUGCUGAAGAUGACUGCCCGUCAGUCCUCUGCUGAUAGCGCUCUCUAAUUGUCUUUAAAAAAAAUUCAACGAGGUGCUUGGGAUCGGCUUGAGGCUGUAUGCGGGGCCUGGGUGGGGCUGGAGCAGCCAGGAUUCACAUCGUGUGUGAGAGCCAGCACAGCUCCCAGCUAGAACACGUAACAGCCCCGGGCUGUCCGGUCCCACGAGCCGUCUCCAGUGCGGGAAUCACCCACUUCAAAGGCCACCCCUGGAAACACAGCAGAGGUCAGGGCAGAGGGCUUGCGAUUGGCAAGGAAUGAGCACCGGCAAGGGCAUAAAGAUAGUGCUCAGCCAUCUGCAGGGGUGUUUAUGCAAACUUUCUAGGACUUGUUCAGCUUUCUGGGGAUCUUCCAGCUUUCUAGGUAGAAGGGCAAGUUUUUCAACCAUUAGUUAGAUGAACCCUCCCACUUCCCAGAGUCAAAGAAUUCCCAUGGGGAUUGCCCUGGGGACCUCUUCCUCCUCUCCUAAAAACAUGUGAGCAUCUAUUUGGAGCUUUUUCUUUCAGCAGCUCACUAAUGUGUAUUUCUGCUACCUGUCGCGUUUAUUUCGAUUAUUCAUUCUGUGUUCAAAUUUUGGUCCAUGUCCAAUGAGCUUCAGAAAUAUAUUUCUUAAUUAC